rnacentral:rRNA from 1 species
AUUGAACGCUGGCGGCAUGCUUUACACAUGCAAGUCGAGCGGCAGCGCGGGGGCAACCCUGGCGGCGAGCGGCGAACGGGUGAGUAAUGCAUCGGAACGUAUCCUCGAGUGGGGGAUAACCCAGCGAAAGUUGGGCUAAUACCGCAUGAGCUCUGAGGAGGAAAGCGGGGGACCUGCGAGGGCCUCGCGCUGGAGGAGCGGCCGAUGUCCGAUUAGCUAGUUGGUGGGGUAAAGGCUUACCAAGGCGACGAUCGGUAGCUGGUCUGAGAGGAUGAUCAGCCACACUGGGACUGAGACACGGCCCAGACUCCUACGGGAGGCAGCAGUGGGGAAUUUUGGACAAUGGGGGCAACCCUGAUCCAGCCAUGCCGCGUGAGUGAAGAAGGCCUUCGGGUUGUAAAGCUCUUUCGGACGGAACGAAAUGGGCGGGACUAAUACUCCUGUCUGAUGACGGUACCGUCAGAAGAAGCACCGGCUAACUACGUG